AUGGCGUUUCCAAGGAGCCCUGAUUCCAGUAUGAGCAGCUAUGCUUCCACUCUGACGCUGAGCAGCUGCCCCAGCUCCUAUAUCUCCAUAGGCAGCAGCAACCCAAGCUCAUUUACGGCCUUCGCAAUAAUCCCCACCGGUGCCGGCGAUCACAGCCCAGCACUAGCAGCCACAGGAGCUCCUGGAUUCACACAGGGAAAGAAGCUUCAGCAGCAUCAGGAUCCUCCGGAAUCAGAAGCAAAGUUCCCUAAGCAAGAAACUAACGGCUGGGAGCAUCCAUACCUCUGUUCACCAUCCAAGCAACUCAAGAACGUAAGCACUUCCAUCAAGGAGAUCAGUCGCUGGGCAAGAUCUUCGCCGGGAGUAAAGGUGAACUCAAACAUCCGGCUCUUGGAGUCUGUACUUUCUUUGAUACAAGUGGUAACUUCGACAGCACCACACCCAGAUCACAUCGUCGACAUGAUACGGGUCCAUGAUGCGCUUGCUAACCUGUUGCUUGUCCUGCCCAAGAAUAUCUUCCCUUUACUGGUGCAAAGUUUUGCUCAGAUUGUAGAUGAAUUAAGCCCGAAAGGAGGUGCAUCUUUAUCAGCAAGGUUCGAAAAGACACUGCAUGAUUUGCGAAGAAGCAUAAGGAGUGGUCUUCAGGAUGGCAAGGUUGCAAUGCGGACGCUGCAAGAUAAUGUUGCUACCUUGAUCUCUCACUUGGAAAUUAUGCUUGAGAAAGAAUCUCAUCGCUAUCAAGAUGCAGGGUUAAAACAAAUGUUCAUGGUGAAUAACGUGAACUUUGUGCUGCAUCAAGUAGAAGGCUCAGAGAUAAAGUAUCUUCUAGGAGAUGAUUGGGUUCUGAAGCACCAAGACCAACUGAAGGACCACAUCUCAUCGUUCAUCAAUAUUUCUUGGGAAUCUGUCAUGUAUUGCUUCCAUGUAAAGACCAACAAAAUCUCAAUCUUUUCUAGCCUACCAACACUGCAAAUAUUUAACCUGGAAUUUGAGAAAACUUACUAG
rnacentral:rRNA from 1 species